rnacentral:rRNA from 1 species
AGUGAACGCUGGCGGUAGGCCUAACACAUGCAAGUCGAACGGCAGCACAGUAAGAGCUUGCUCUUACGGGUGGCGAGUGGCGGACGGGUGAGGAAUACAUCGGAAUCUACUUUUUCGGGGGGGAUAACGUAGGGAAACUUACGCUAAUACCGCAUACGACCUACGGGUGAAAGCAGGGGAUCUUCGGACCUUGCGCGAUUGAAUGAGCCGAUGUCGGAUUAGCUAGUUGGCGGGGUAAAGGCCCACCAAGGCGACGAUCCGUAGCUGGUCUGAGAGGCUGAUCAGCCACACUGGAACUGAGACACGGUCCAGACUCCUACGGGAGGCAGCAGUGGGGAAUAUUGGACAAUGGGCGCAAGCCUGAUCCAGCCAUACCGCGUGGGUGAAGAAGGCCUUCGGGUUGUAAAGCCCUUUUGUUGGGAAAGAAAAGCAGCAGGUUAAUACCCCGCUGUUCUGACGGUACCCAAAGAAUAAGCACCGGCUAACUUCGUG